rnacentral:rRNA from 1 species
GACAGAGGAGCCAAGCGUUGUCCGGAUUGACUGGGCGUAAAGCGCACGCAGGCGGAUGCGCGCGUGGGGUGUGAAAUCUGGCCGCUUAACGGCCAGGCGCCAUCCCAUACGGCGCGUCUGGAGUGAUGCAGGGGUCGAUGGAAUUGCCGGUGUAGUGGUGAAAUGCGUAGAGAUUGGCAGGAACACCCAGGGGGAAACCAGUCGACUGGGCAUCUACUGACGCUGAGGUGCGAGAGCGUGGGGAGCGAACCGG